rnacentral:rRNA from 1 species
GCAUAUCAAUAAGCGGAGGAAAAGAAACUAACAAGGAUUCCCCUAGUAACGGCGAGUGAAGCGGGAACAGCUCAAAUUUUAAAUCUGGCUGCUUCGCAGUCCGAGUUGUAAUUUGAAGGCGUCUGUCGCAUGUGAGACGAUGGCACAAGUCCUCUGGAACGUGGCAUCGUAGAGGGUGAGAAUCCCGUCUCUGGUCGUUGUCUUGCAGGCACACAACAGGCGAUCCGAAGAGUCGAGUUGUUUGGGAUUGCAGCUCCAAAUGGGUGGUAAACUCCAUCUAAGGCUAAAUAUUGGCGAGAGACCGAUAGCGAACAAGUACCGUGAGGGAAAGAUGAAAAGAACUUUGAAAAGAGAGUAAAACAGUACGUGAAAUUGUUGAAAGGGAAACGCUUGAAGUCAGUCGUGCCGGCGGGGAUUCAGCGAACUUCGCGGAGUGAGCGUAUUUCCUCGCAUGGCAGGUCAGCGUCAGUUUUGCGCGUCGUGAAAGGGCUCGGGUAAGGUGACUCUCCUCGGGGAGUGUUAUAGGCCUGGGCAGAUGCGAUGCGCGGGACUGAGGAUUGCAGCGGACACCCUUCGGGGCGCGGCGACCGAUCCCUGCUCCGUCACCUUCGUCCGAUAGCGUGCUAACGGUCGGGGGAGCGGCGGUUGCACCGGGUUGGCAAGCCGGCGGCUUCGCUAAGGAUGCUGACGUAAUGGCUUUAAACGAC